UACAUUUGCGUCGCUUUAGGUUCCCGAUUUCACGAUCGGGAUUAAAAGGGAACCGGGUUAGAAUCCCGGACAGUCCCGCUGCUGUGUUCUCCACAACGGUUAUCCAAUUUAAUGGUCACUGUUCGCCCCAGGCGGAUGGGAAGGCCGGAUAAACCGGGAGUAAGUCAGAAGACCUGCCUUAGCUUAACAAUUCAU
rnacentral:ncRNA from 2 species